CUUUUGUAAAGAGGAAACCUUAUGAUAAAAACCCCUCUGCCAUCCUUACCCACCAACUUACAGAAGAAAAAGCUCAAAGAGCUUCCACUUUAUGCUCUCUUGGAUCAUUCACUUAGAGGAAAGCCAGUGCUAUAAUAUGAGGACUCUUAAGAAGCCACUUGGAGCUCGCUAUCUGGCAAGGAACUCGGGCAUUACACCAAUAAUCAGCACCAAUUUGCCAACCAUCUUAGUGAACUGUUCUUGGAAACAGAUCCUCCAAACCCAGCCAAGCCUUCAGAUGACGGCAGGCUUAGCUGACAUUUUGAUUACCACCCUGUGAGAUACUUUGAGCCAGAACCACUCAACUAAGCCACACCCAAAAUCCAGACCCACAGAAAGGAUGUGAUACAAUAAAUGUUUGCUGUUGUUUUAA